AUUGAACGCUGGCGGCAGGCCUAACACAUGCAAGUCGAGCGGUAGCACAGGGAGCUUGCUCCUGGGUGACGAGCGGCGGACGGGUGAGUAAUGUCUGGGAAACUGCCUGAUGGAGGGGGAUAACUACUGGAAACGGUAGCUAAUACCGCAUAACGUCGCAAGACCAAAGAGGGGGACCUUCGGGCCUCUUGCCAUCAGAUGUGCCCAGAUGGGAUUAGCUAGUAGGGGGGUAACGGCUCACCUAGGCGACGAUCCCUAGCUGGUCUGAGAGGAUGACCAGCCACACUGGAACUGAGACACGGUCCAGACUCCUACGGGAGGCAGCAGUGGGGAAUAUUGCACAAUGGGGGCAAGCCUGAUGCAGCCAUGCCGCGUGUAUGAAGAAGGCCUUCGGGUUGUAAAGUACUUUCAGCGGGGAGGAAGGCGAUAAGGUUAAUAACCUUGUCGAUUGACGUUACCCGCAGAAGAAGCACCGGCUAACUCCGUGCCAGCAGCCGCGGUAA
rnacentral:rRNA from 1 species